GAUGAACGCUGGCGGCGUGCCUAAUACAUGCCAGUCGAGAGAACGGACGAGAAGCUUGCUUCUCUGAUGUUAGCGGCGGACGGGUGAGUAACACGUGGAUAACCUACCUAUAAGACUGGGAUAACUUCGGGAAACCGGAGCUAAUACCGGAUAAUAUUUUGAACCGCAUGGUUCAAAAGUGAAAGACGGUCUUGCUGUCACUUAUAGAUGGAUCCGCGCUGCAUUAGCUAGUUGGUAAGGUAACGGCUUACCAAGGCAACGAUGCAUAGCCGACCUGAGAGGGUGAUCGGCCACACUGGAACUGAGACACGGUCCAGACUCCUACGGGAGGCAGCAGUAGGGAAUCUUCCGCAAUGGGCGAAAGCCUGACGGAGCAACGCCGCGUGAGUGAUGAAGGUCUUCGGAUCGUAAAACUCUGUUAUUAGGGAAGAACAUAUGUGUAAGUAACUGUGCACAUCUUGACGGUACCUAAUCAGAAAGCCACGGCUAACUACGUG
rnacentral:rRNA from 1 species